rnacentral:lncRNA from 1 species
GUCGUUGCUGAGGCGCGUCGCGAGCUUGCCCGCUGGGUGUUUGACUUUUCGUUUGGCUUCUGACCUGCUGUCCUGGAACCAAGCUGACCUCCAGCUCAGACACGGGCCUGCCUUUGCCUCCCAAGUGCUAUUAAAGGUAUGUGCCACCAUACCCAUUGUGGGUUUUAUAUUUGUAAUCUCUUUGGUUUUUAGAGAUAGGGUUUGUAACAUAGAACAGGUUGGUCUCUAACCCGAGAUCUCUUGUCUCAGCUUCCUGAAUUCUUGGAAUAUUUGAAAUUUUUUUAAAAGAUUUUUUAUUUAUUUUAUGUGUGAGUACAUUGUUGCUGUCUUCAGACAUGACAUCAGAUCCCAUUACAGAUGGUUGUGAGCCACCGUGUGGUUGCUGGGAAUUGAACUCAGGGCCUCUGGAAGAGCAGUCAGUGCUCUUAACCACUGAGCCAUCUCUCCAGCCCUGGAAUAUUUGAAAUUUUACACAUUAUUUUAUUUUACUUUGUUGAGGCUUUGUUGGAGAUUUCAUGUAGUCUGGAACUCAAUUUGUAGACCAUGCUGGCCUCAAACUUCUGCCUGCCUUUACCUCCCAAGUGCUGGGAUUAGAGAAAUGUGCCACAUCACCUGACUUAUUUACUUACUGAGUGCAUAUACAUGUACCACAGAGUACUUGUAGCAGUCAGAGGGAGGCUUGUCUAAGUCGGCUCUCUCACUGUGUGGGUCCUGUAUGGUCUGAGGAUAUGGAAGCUUAUAAGAAGUGUUUGUGGUCCAGGAAGGUGUUCUGGGGUUGGUAAAUCCAAGUUCUGAGGGUAAAGGAUGUGAGAGAAACAAACAAACCUGGACUGUGAUAGGAAAGUGUUAGGAUAAUAAGGGAGGAAUGAGAUUUGUUGGGGGGAGGGGGUUGUCUAGGAUGGUGUUUUGAUUGUUGGUAAAUGCAAGUUUAAAGGAUUUGUCUUUUUAUGAAUUUAAAAGAUUCUUGUAAGCUUCAGGGAACCCACUCAAAUCCAUCUCCCACAGGUCAAGUGGACUCCAGCUAAGUACUGUCAAUCAACAGCCUGUUUCCCUUCCACCUGCCUAUUCCUGAGGGUGAGGUCUUUUCCCUGGUCCCAGGACUUCCCCACCCCUCCUCCAAAUACCAAGACUAUGGGCUUAAAAGUUUCAAAUGGGUGCUGGAGAGAUGGCUCAGCAGUUAAGAGCACCGACUGCUCUUUCGAAGGUCCUGAGUUCAAAUCCCAGCAACCAUAUGGUGGCUCAC